AUAUUGGGCGUAAGCGCGCGCAGGCGGUUUCUUAGUCUGAUGUGAAGCCCCCGUUUCAACCGUGGACGGCCAUUGGACACUGGGGAACUUGAUUGCAGAAGAGGAAAGUGGUUUCCAUGUGUAGCGGUGAUAUGCGCAGAGUAUAUGGAGGACCACCAGUGGCGAAGGCGGCUCUCUGCUCUGUAACUGACGCUGAUGUGCGAAAGCGUGGGGAUGCAACA
rnacentral:rRNA from 1 species